CUACUUCAACUUCCACCUCCACCUUACCUUCUUUUAUCCAUCUACCACCCCACUCUUUCCGCAACUCUGAAAACGACCCUUCGUAUUACUCAAACUUUUAUUUCCCAUUCAACUUUAAAAUUUAAAUAUUCAAUUUACCGACAUAAAAGUAAAACAAAGAUUUCUCUAACCCUUUCACAAUAUCACAAUUCAAUUCCUUUCCCUUUUUUCCCUUUCCAAUAUAUCUCAAAUCUCAUUUCACAAUUUCUUUCCAUUUUUCCUCAAACUUAUCAACAAAACAACAAAAAGUCAAAAACACACAUAAAAAAACACACACAAAUGUUUCUCAUCCAUUAG